rnacentral:other from 1 species
CGUCGCCUGCGGUGUUCGAUAGUGGAUCGGGUUACCUCUCGACCCUAAGUUGGAACGCCCCGGGGCACCAGGGCUUGCUGCCAGCACUGUGCAUGUCCGCCUCGAGCGGAAAGCCUUACCUGGCGUAGUCCGCCCCACUUGUUGCUCUGUGUCGAGAGCAACGGUUCACACCGGCACAGGCGGGCGACGC